ensembl:lncRNA novel transcript
AGUAACCCCGGCGAGAGUGGGUGGAGAGGGAGGCGCUUCCUCUCCAUUCAUGUCAGCUGCCAGCCAGGCCCGGGCAGGCCGGCCCUUUAGCGGAGGGGACUGGGCAGGACGAGGCGAUGGGUGUCUUCGGAGAUCUUAAGCUGGGCUGAAAGUUAAACACUCACCCGCAGGGCUGAGCCAGAGCUGGCACCUUCCACACCGAGCCCCUUCCUAUCUGUGACUGUUGAAAAGUUUAAUGUGAUGUUCUGGGUGAGGACCGAGGCGUUGGAGGUCGCUAGGAGGGUAGUUUUACGGAGUCGCGUUAAUGGCUGUAGUGGGUGUACCUUAGUGACCACAGGGAGGUGGCAGCCUGUCCUCUCCUCCUCCUGGUCACCGUAUUCUAUUUGCGGAAAAGGUAAGAAUGGAGGCUUGGAUAGUCUUUCUACUAGAGAUGCAACUUCUCCCACCCUCUACUCCAGGGGAAAGAGAAGUCUGUGGGGAACUGGCUUUGUAAAAAGUAGGAAAGAGGAAAGGGACAAAUGGGUACACGUUAAGAAGAGGGUGACUCUCAUACAUUGCUGGAGAAAAUUUAAAGUGGUGCAGCCACUGGGGAAACAGUUUGAUGGUGCCACAAAAGGUUAAAUAUCAAAUUAGCAUCUGGCCCAGCAACUCCACUCCUAGAUAUAAACCCUAAUAAAUUAUAAA